UAGCAGGGGGGUGCAAAACGUUUGCUCGGAAUCAUUGGGCGUAAAGCGCGUGUAGGCGGCUUUGCAAGUCGGGGUGUGAAAGCCCUCAGCUCAACUGAGGAGGUGCGCCCGAAACUGCAGAGCUUGAGUGCCGGAGAGGGUGGCGGAAUUCCCCCAAGUAGAGGUGAAAAUUCGUAGAUAUGGGGAGGAACACCGGUGGCCGAAGGCGGCCACCUGGACGGUAACUGCGCUGAGACGCGAAAGCGUGGGGAGCAAACAGG
rnacentral:rRNA from 1 species